ACUCCUACGGGAGGCAGCAGUAAGGAAUAUUGCUCAAUGGGCGAAAGCCUGAAGCAGCAACGCCGCGUGCAUGAUGAAGGCCUUCGGGUCGUAAAAUGCUUUUCGGGGAGAUGAGGAAGGACAGUAUCCCCGGAAUAAGGUACCGCUAACUACGUGCCAGCAGCCGCGGUAAU
rnacentral:rRNA from 1 species